GAUGUCACAACAUUUUUAACCCGGGCUAACAAAAUAUUAUAAGCCAAUGGGUGACACAGUAUUAUCAGCCAAUGGGUAACACAGUAUUAUCAACCAAUGGUAGCAGAGUAUUAUCAACCAGUGGUAACACAGUAUUAUCAACCAAUGGUAGCACAUUAUUAUCAACCAAUGAUAACGCAGUAUUAUCAACCAAUGGGUAACACAGUAUUAUCAGCCAAUGGUAACAAAGUAUUAUCAACCAAUGGUAGCAGAGUAUUAUCAACCAAUGGUAGCACAGUGUUAUCAACCAAUUUUUAGCACAGUAUUAUCAACCAAUGGGUAACACAGUAUUAUCAACCAGUGUUAUCAACCAAUGGUAGCAGAGUAUUAUCAACCAAUGGUAACAUAGUAUUAUCAACCAAUGGUAACACAAUAUU
rnacentral:lncRNA from 1 species